rnacentral:rRNA from 1 species
AUGCUUUACAUUAUCCGCUUGCACGGUGAUACUUCUACCCGAUCUCAAUCUCGAAUUUGUGAUGAUACUUCAGAGCAUGAAGGGGAAUUUGUGCGCGCUUAUCCUCACCAUAUACUCGUAUACCAGCAGCUUGGUGUCCACUCCAGAGAUGUAGCCGGGCAGCUUGAUGAUGUUUCUGUGCUGUAUGCCGCCCAACACUGUGGCCUCCGACUCGAAUUGUUUGUCAAGCUCCGCCUCCGUGACCUUGUUCCAUGCUCACAUGUCAGAAGAUUUAUCUUCGUGCCCUGUUUUGCACAAAGGCCACUGUUGGCAAGGAAAGCUGCGCUCGUAUACUGCAAUUUUGUUCAGGAGGUGAAGGACGAUAUGAAAGAUCUAUCUGCUUAUGGGGCAUCUUGUUCAGGAGGAGUACUUUGCGGUUACUCCAAUUCAUCCAGGGCAUUCAUCGAGCCUGAGCAUGCACCUUAA